rnacentral:rRNA from 1 species
GACGGAGGGUGCAAGCGUUGUUCGGAAUCACUGGGCGUAAAGCGCGUGUAGGCGGCUGAAUAAGUCGGAUGUGAAAGCCCGGAGCUCAACUCCGGAAGUGCAUUCGAAACUGUUCGGCUCGAGUACGGGAGAGGGAAGUGGAAUUCCUGGUGUAGAGGUGAAAUUCGUAGAUAUCAGGAGGAACACCGGUGGCGAAGGCGGCUUCCUGGACCGAUACUGACGCUGAGACGCGAAAGCGUGGGGAGCAAACAGGAUUAGAUACCCCCGUAGUCC